UACGUAGGGGGCAAGCGUUGUCCGGAAUCAUUGGGCGUAAAGAGCGUGUAGGCGGCCAGAUAAGUCCGCUGUGAAAUCUCGAGGCUCAACUUCGAGCUGUCGGUGGAAACUGUCUGGCUAGAGUCCGGAAGAGGAGAAUGGAAUUCCUGGUGUAGCGGUGAAAUGCGCAGAUAUCAGGAAGAACACCCGUGGCGAAGGCGGUUCUCUGGGACGGUACUGACGCUGAGACGCGAAGGCGUGGGGAGCGAACGGG
rnacentral:rRNA from 1 species